rnacentral:lncRNA from 1 species
UACUAAUAAUUACUCAACCAAAAUAUUUUUCAUAUGAUUGUUCCUUGCUUAUCUAAGUUUUGUAUAAUUUUUCAUAUUUUCUGUUUCUAAAAUAAUUUAUAUGAAUUGUUAAAGUAGGCCUUGGAUAUCUUAAGUCCAAAAUAGACUAAAAAGAGAUUUAUGCCAAAUAGACAAUAUAUUUGUUUUCCUGUUCUAUUUUAACAAAUUUCUCUUAAUUUAAUUUAUCGUAUUUAUUCAUUUUCUGCCUUGUCUUAUCAAUUUAUUCCAAAAAUAUGAACCAAAAAAAAUUUAUGGCAAAAGGACAAUGUAUUUGUUUUUCUGUUCUGGUUUAGCAAAUUUCCCUUAAUUUAAUUUAUCGUAUCAUGUUAUUCUUUUUCUGCCUUAUCGUAUCAUAUAAUUUUUAUUUUGGUAUAAAAUAUGUAAUAUCUUAUAUGUUUAGGUAUAAAAUAUAUACCGUUUUACAGGUUUUGGUAUAAUAUAUCGUUGCAAAAAGGUAUUUACGGAAAGAAAUGCAAACAUUAACCUGUACAAAAUGUCUUAAAACAAAUUGCUGUCUUACAAUUAUAAAUAGUCUCCAAA